CCUACGGGAGGCAGCAGUGGGGAAUAUUGCACAAUGGGGGAAACCCUGAUGCAGCAACGCCGCGUGAGUGAGGAAGUAUUUCGUUAUGUACAGCUCUAUCAGCAGGGAAGAAAAUGACGGUAACUGAGUAAGAAGCACCGGCUAACUACGUGCCAGCAGCCGCGGGAAUACGUAGGGGGCAAGCGAUAUCCGGAUGUACUGGGGGUAAAGGGAGCGUAGACGGCAGUGCAAGUCUGGAGUGAAAGGCGGGGGCUCAACCCCCGGACUGCUCUGGAAACUGUACGGCUGGAGUGCAGGAGAGGUAAGUGGAAUUCCUAGUGUAGCGGUGAAAUGCGUAGAUAUUAGGAGGAACACCAGUGGCGAAGGCGGCUUACUGGACUGUAACUGACGUUGAGGCUCGAAAGCGUGGGGAGCAAACAGGAUUAGAUACCCCAGUAGUC
rnacentral:rRNA from 1 species